rnacentral:lncRNA from 1 species
GUUUUCGCAGCCGUACGUCGGUUGGGGAGAUUUGUUCUGUGAUCGAGUUGAGCCUCAUGCGAGCGACUCCGCUACAACUUCACGCGCAGUAACUCGUAGUCAGUGGACCGCGUGAACGUGGAGAUCAGGGUACUCAGUGCGAUAUUACAGUACAGAAUUCAACCCUGCGGCUGAUUCAGGUUUUCGCUGAAACAGAGAGAGAGUUGCCGCUGCUGUAGGUUGCACCCCCUUCUGUAGUUGCGCCUCCUCGAGAGGUGCUUCAAAUUCAGUAUGUGCGCUUAGCUACAUGCUCAACAUAGACUCUUGACAGGGUGGUGAACACAUGAAUUUGUAACUAACGGUGGAGCCUUUAGGCUAGGCGGUCAGGGGGCGCAAGGAAAGCUGUUAAUUGUUUCACUCGUGCUGAUCCAUGAUGACACACUGGCGCAGCCUCUCGUCUACAACGAGCAGGCGGCUACAAAUGCACGAUCUGAAGUUGUGACCGUGUAUCACGCAGUGAUGCAACCCAAUGAGGAUUCGCAUGAACACUAGCAGUGCUAGGUCCAUUACCUUGUGGCAUCAUUCAAGGCCUCCUGUGUAUCGCGUAACUCGCCAUCGUGCACUCUACGUGUCCAGGACUGGCAAUUCGUGAGGUUGGCCAAGUGAACUCUUUUGGGCACAAAAGCGUUGCCCUCCCAGAGGUCUGCUCUUCUCGAAUUUGUCUAUCCACUCAACUGUUGCUGAUAAGCAUGUGCAAAUGGGAUGAUUACAUGUGCUUCCUUGUAUAACAGAAGAAGUCGUCAGUGAGUGGAUGGUCAUUUUAUGCGAGGCUUCAUGUUUAAUUUUAACCUUUUGCUUAAAAACCAAAACUUAUCGGUUUCCUCUUCAACAGGCAAAUUGUUAGGUUCAUAUACCCUUCUAUUGUUAGGAUUAAAAUUUCAGUCUCUUUUCACUCUCCUUCCGGGGUCUCUGCUCUGGGUCCGCUAAUAGAGCUUGCCGUCAGUUUUGUCUAUCCGUUAGGUACGAAAGCGUUCCAGUAGUCUCCGGACACGCAUCUUUGCUGAAUGUUGACAGCGGCAUCCUUGCUCUGUGUGUGUCUCCUGUCGCUUCAGUUUUGGACACAGAACGUACGUCGAAUUUUUAUUUGUCACCUCGCUGACCUUGCAAGGGCCGUUCCCCUCAGCGCUCCAGUGUCCAACAGUCUGCGUAGCUCAGUUUGCUGCGUCGAUGUGCCCAAGUGAAAAGCUGCUCCUGGUAUGCAUCAAUACGACAGACGCUGACGGGAGCCCUUCGCUUGAUGGAGCAGACGCGCCCUAUUGAAAUCCAGGUGUGCGAAUUCAGCAUAAAUAGUGUUUCACAGCCUGCCGGCUUGGUCUCAGUGUGGCGUUGCAUCACCGACCGCGAUAAAUGCUGAACAGUAAAGCCCGAGUGAUGCAGAAGGUCACAGCUUAUCAUCUGUCCGAAUGCUGCAUAUUGAACAGCUUAUUAGCAGUCUGCCCGCGCGCCUACCUGUAUCAAACGGUGAACGGACUGGCAACGUCACUUGCACGUUCUGAACUGUUGGCCCGGUCCGGUAGCCGUACAGUCGUUUCAUUGCUUCGCUGUAUCUGGUGCCGCCGCUCUUUUCAAGCGUGGCAGUGCAUGCCAGAAGAAACAGACAUUUCACGUUGGGGCUGUGGCUGCCUGAGCAGCCCUUUUGUCGUAUCAUUCAUUUCUCUGCAGCUCUCCUCCAUGUGGGAGGCGUGUUGUCUCAUCAAUUCCUUCUUUUGGUUUUAUCUGCACGCAAACCGUAAGUUCCUGUUUGCGAUAGCAGCCGCCACAGCUCUUGUCGUGAGUUCUGGCACAAGAGAGUGGAGCUACACAGUCGGUUCCGUCAGACUAUUUAGGGCCUCAUGCUCCUCUUCCUCCUGGCAGCGGAGUUAUCUGCCAGGUGUGGUCGAUCUGCGUCGGUCACCCAUAUCUGUUUAUGUACUCACCUGCUUUACACACGCUCAUGCAGGUUGUUGAAAGUUGAUGCUGUGAUUCAUCGCGCUGCCUUGUCACAUGCAUGUCUCUGUACAGCGCGUCGUGAAGCUUAAUCAA